UCCACGCCUAGCCUGCGGCUGAUCACCAAGGGCGAAAAGUCGGACACCUUCACCGGCCUGGCGAUGGUUCUUUAUGAAGG
rnacentral:sRNA from 1 species